rnacentral:lncRNA from 1 species
UUUAUGCGUAUUAUGCCAGAGUAACAAAUAAUCCCAUACAUUAUGAAUUUAUCGAAUUAAACUGCCUUAUUAUGUCACUUCUAAUAUAAAAAUCCUUUUGCAACCAGACCCGUUAUGCAAUAGAAAAGUAUGAAUAAUUGGAUAUAGGAGGGGUGGGCAUUCAAGGGGUUGGGAUUAUGAACUCGACUUCUCUCUAUUAUGAUCAUUCCAAUAGGUCCUAUAGGAGCUAGCUAUACUCCUUUCAUUCCUGAUCGUUGUUAUGAUGUUCUAUGUUCAAAUAAUAGAUCGACUCCUUCGGUAAAAUUCAAAAGAAAGAUUGUUAAGAGCAGAUUGUGACAUUCAAUUAACUAGACUUUGAGGUAAUAUCAAUUGGCCUAAACUAUAAGUGGCCGGCAAAGUCAUAUGGUAGAGUACUCGCUUUACAAACGCAUUAAAAUGAGAGUUAAUGCCCUCAAUUUUGUUUUACAAACGUAUUAGAAUGAGAGUUAAUUUUCCAUUACCAUUCCACGUCAAUGAUACACUCAGCGGCAAUUUUGCAAUAUGCUAAUAAUAAGGUAUGCCUGCGGCAAGAAAUUAUAACUACAAAUGGCCAAUCCGCCGCCCUGGGUCCUUCAAAUCUUCAAUCCUCUCUCACAACGCACAGGAAGCAACAAGCAGUAAGAAAAGCGUGACAUGUAGCUUCAUCCCGACAAAAAUCGCAUCCGACGAACCAAUCGUCGUGGGAACCGUGUUAGCAGAACCACCGUUAUCUGAAGGAGUACUGAUCGGCGGAGCAACAAGCAGUAAGAAAAGCGUGACAUGUAGCUUCAUCCCGACAAAAAUCGCAUCCGACGAACCAAUCGUCGUGGGAACCGUGUUAGCAGAACCACCGUUAUCUGAAGGAGUACUGCUCGGCGGAGCUCCCCCAGCUGUGGUCGUCAUCCCUGGUUUGUCAUUCGACGCCGGUGGGCUCCCUCCAGUUCCUGCUCCUGCCCCAGGUGAAUCCGAUGGGGCAUUCCCUACUGAUAUUUCCACUUGAAUGUUGGUGAAUAAUAUAAAAAUUAUAAUUUGAAUCUCUCUUUUAAUAACUCGAGUGUUCAUUAGAAUGCAACGAUUUAUAACAUUUAAAAUCAGACAUUAUGUUUUGUAUAUAUCAUUUGGUCCGAAUUUUUGAACUAACCAGUAUUGCAUCGGCUAACAGAAGGGGUGGUUACGCUACAAGCGGAAGGGAGCUCGAGAGCUUGAGUUUGGUUGACGACGAUCCCCAGAGAGGACCCGCCACCGUUAACCAACUGGCAGAGACACUGCGGCUGCGAAGAAACUACACUGGCCAGUUGUGAGCAGCAAGUACUCGAGGGAGUUGAUGAGUUCCCCGAGACAUAGUUGAGGCAGGGUGCCAAGCUUAUCAGUGCGCUAGUACAUCCUCCCGACUGCGCUGUGGCGCCGUGGUACAUCGCCAUGACCAGAACUAGGGUGACUUGGAAUCCAAUUGAUGAACUCAUUGUGAUGAUCACCAAAGUUUUAUUUAUUUAUCAAUUAAAUGUGUUCUUG